rnacentral:lncRNA from 1 species
GAACUGAACUCUGGACCGCAACAUGAUGGAAAGGAGGAGCUGGGGUCCCAAGGGCAGUCCAGACAACCUGAACCUGUGACACUCACCCUGCCCACACACUCUCAGAGCUGCAGCUUUCACGGGGGUGACAUGAAUGCUUGUAAAUGAGCUUGCUGAAUGGGAGACCAAGAACGAUGAUAUUGAGCUGUUACUACAUGCCAGACAUUUAACCCUUUCAUCCAGGUUAUCUCAAUCAUUCCUUACAGAAAGGCUUUUGAGAUGUCCUUGCAACUGGAGGUGCCAUAUGAUACAGUUCUGCCCAAAGACAAGAAAGUGAAUGUCUGUUGAGGGCUUCCUAUAAGGCCAAUACAUACAGGUGUUCCCAACAACAGAAGUCCCCUGAACUCCUUGACACCUAUCAAGAAGGGACAGAUGCUGUGUUUACACCCACAAGCAGGUAUGAAACAACAGCAACAUAAGAAAACAACAUUUGAAUUCAACAGCUUGUUAUUUGGGGGUGAGGAGGACAGGUUUUAAUUAACAGUUGUAUUUUUGUUUUUCCAAACAGCUUUGUGUUUACCAAUUCAAACUUGGACUUCAGAGAAAACAGAGAGCACUCUACUAUGAUAACACAGAACUAGUACCAUAAUUUUUUUUGGUUAAGAAAGGUAUGUACGUUCUGGAAGUUACCUGGGUAGAAUAAAAAACAGAAUAAAAGUGGAAAGAACAAAAGAAUUUAAAAAAUGAAUAGAAUUUAUUUUCAAAUAAAUGUGCAUUUUGUUAACCAAAAUAAUAAACAUUAAAUGUGUUUGUGUUUUGUGCCACAUAACUAUUUUUUAAUGUCCUAUUAUUCACAGCCUAGUUAGAGGACCAGGGGUUCAUUGAAGUCAGCAUGUUUAAGAGCA